rnacentral:tRNA from 2 species
GCCGGGAUGGCGAAACGGCAGACGCAGGCGACUUAAAAUCGCUCGAUGGUGACAUCUUGCGGGUUCGAGUCCCGCUCCCGGCA